AGUGAACGCUGGCGGUAGGCCUAACACAUGCAAGUCGAACGGCAGCACAGUAAGAGCUUGCUCUUACGGGUGGCGAGUGGCGGACGGGUGAGGAAUACAUCGGAAUCUACUUUUUCGUGGGGGAUAACGUAGGGAAACUUACGCUAAUACCGCAUACGACCUACGGGUGAAAGCAGGGGAUCUUCGGGCCUUGCGCGAUUGAAUGAGCCGAUGUCGGAUUAGCUAGUUGGCGGGGUAAAGGCCCACCAAGGCGACGAUCCGUAGCUGGUCUGAGAGGAUGAUCAGCCACACUGGAACUGAGAAACGGUCCAGACUCCUACGGGAGGCAGCAGUGGGGAAUAUUGGACAAUGGGCGAAAGCCUGAUCCAGCCAUCCCGCGUGAGUGAAGAAGGCCUUCGGGUUGUAAAGCCCUUUUGUUGGGAAAGAAAAUCAGCAGGUUAAUACCCCGCUGUUCUGACGGUACCCAAAGAAUAAGCACCGGCUAACUUCGUG
rnacentral:rRNA from 1 species